ensembl:lncRNA RPL13AP17 ribosomal protein L13a pseudogene 17
UCUUUUGGAUAUACAAUUUCACAUUGGCAUGUGCACACACACUUAUUGUGUGUAUACACCCUGCACGUCCCCAACAUAAACCACUUACAGCUUCAGAAAGGAAAGGAGACAGAAGCAGCAACAUCUCAACAACCAAUUUCCAAUACUAUGAAUCAGAUCAUUUCAAAGCAGUUCCCAGAAACAUGAUACCCAGGGAGAACCCAACAAUGAAGUUAUGGUUGUUAUUUUUUUGAGAAGGGAAAGACUACUGAUGAGAGAUGCUUCCAAAUUAAAAGUGGCAAAGGACUCAGGAUAUUUAAGGAUGAGAUUCCAUUGCCUGAUCUCUUUGUCUUUACAUUCACUUAUCUGCAGUCUGACUCUCUCCUCUCACCAUGGAAUGGAAACUUAGACCUUGGGAAGACUUCAUAAUUUUUUCUCUACUGUCAUGUUUGAAUAAAUGGAAUAAAAACAACUUCAUGCUUUGGAAACUGGGAGGAAAAUAACCCUAGAAGGAUCUUCUGGAGCCAACCCUCUUCAAAGAAGACAGGAUAGUAUAAUUAUGAACUCAGUCUCUGUAGUCAUGAUGCUCACAUCCAAGCCCCUGCACAUCCUAGGAAGAUUCAUCACUAAGCCAUUACUCUUCACUAAUUCCAUGGAAAACUUCGAACUAACUCCUAGCAGACAUGGCCGUGUGCACCAUCAAUCAUGUCAUGAAGCACCCAGGACCUACAAGGUGGCUGCUGAAGACAGCAGAAAGACAGAACCUGGUGCUCAGUGGCCAAGGCCAUCUUGUGGGCCACCCGGCAGCCAUCUUGGCCAAGUGGGUUCUGCUGGGAAGGAAACUGGUGGUUGAGCACCACGAGGGCAUCAACAUUUCUGGCAAUUUCUGGAGAAACAAAUUAAAGUAUCUGGCCUUCCUCUGCAAGCAGAUGAGCACCAACCCUUCCCAAGGCCCACCCGCCCCGCCAUUCCUGGGCCCCCAGCGCAUCUUUUGGUGGCCUUGCAGAACCAAGUGGGGCCAGGCUGCCCUGGACCACCUUAUGGUGUUUUAUGGGAUCUCACUGCCCUAUGACAAGGUGGUUCCUGCUGCCCUUUAGGUUGUACGACUGAAGCCUACAAGAAAGUUUGCCUCCUUGGGGUGCCUGGCUCACGAGGUUGGCUGGAAAUACCAGGUAGUGACAGCCACCAUGGGGGAGAAGAGGAAGGAGAAGGCCAAGAUGCACUACAGGAAGAAAAAGCAGCUCAUGCGGCUGCAGAAACAGGCCACAAAGAACGUGGAGAAGACAAAUGACAAAUACACAGAGGUCCUAAGACCGAGGGACUCCCUGUUUGAGACCAGAAAAGACUGUUUAUUCCUCAUGCUUGGCCUGGCCUACCCUUCUGCCAUUGCGACCUUGGGAUAUGGGGGAGCCUACCCUUCCUGCAUCACCGCCCUGGGAUGUGGGGGAUCCAAGGGCAGCAAUAUAGGUGCCAUGGGCAGCCUGGGACUUAAGCUGGGGGCAAGGGAAGGGCCUUAGUCACUGCCUUUCUAUAAGGUUAUUUUAAACAGCUCUAAGAUUUGUACAGGAAUAAUUUGUCUAUGACCUACUUGUUCAGGACAGAGUUUUAGAAAACCAAUAGAGCAACCAGUUACUUUGGUUUUAAUAUUGGCAAAAGGGACCUGGAACAUUAAUUGGAGGGAGCCCCGCCUCGUGAAAGGGGCAUCUCUUUUUAACUCCCACCUUCUCGUGCUAUACUCUGUGGCUGUUAUAAUAUGAAAAAGUGCUUAGGGACAGCAUGAUCUUACUGUUAUUCAAAGGAUAUUAUAGAGAAGCUUAGACUAGGAAGAUGUGUGACCAAGAGGUGGCAGGGGUCGCCCUUGCUCCUUCCCUGUAUUUUGUGACCAGAAUGAAAUAAAUUACUUUCAAAGAAAAAAA